AAAAUCCGUCGAUUUUUUAAAUCNCGAGGGUUCAAGUCCCUCUAUCCCCA
rnacentral:tRNA from 1 species